GAUGAAGAACGUAGCGAAAUGCGAUAAGUAAUGUGAAUUGCAGAAUUCAGUGAAUCAUCGAAUCUUUGAACGCACAUUGCGCCCGCCAGUAUUCUGGCGGGCAUGCCUGUUCGAGCGUCAUUACAACCCUCAGGCCCCCGGGCCUGGCGUUGGGGAUCGGCGGAAGCCCCCUGCGGGCACAACGCCGUCCCCCAAAUACAGUGGCGGUCCCGCCGCAGCUUCCAUUGCGUAGUAGCUAACACCUCGCAACUGGAGAGCGGCGCGGCCACGCCGUAAAACACCCAACUUCUGAAUGUUGACCUCGAGUCAGGUAGGAAUACCCGCUGAACUUAAGCAUAUCAAUAAGCGGAGGA
rnacentral:misc_RNA from 1 species